rnacentral:lncRNA from 1 species
UUUUUCCAUCAACCACGUUUAACAAGAACAACUCCUGAAGAAAUAUCUACCGUUGGAUCGAAAACCCCAUGUGAUGAUCUUUUUCACAACUCAUGAAGAAGAAAACUAGAAGGUCAACCCAUUCCCAAACAAAACCCCUUCUUCCAUAAAAAGUUAAACCUAAUUGUUGAAGAUGAAAAAGAAGAAACAUUGAUUUUGACUUUCACCUGUUUGAUCAAAUUCCACACCUUGUGCUGAG